rnacentral:tRNA from 1 species
GCUGAGGUGCCGGAGCGGUCAAUCGGUGCAGACUGUAAAUCUGCCGCCCUAACGGGCUACCCAGGUUCGAAUCCUGGCCUCAGCA